rnacentral:rRNA from 1 species
CNGGUGACCCUACCGCCAGCUUAACACACCCAAUCGAGGGUAACCAGGGAAUGCUUGCACUCCGCUGGACCGACCGGCCGCCGGGUGCGUAACGCGGUAAGCCAAUCUACCCUUUUAACUAGGAGUNAUAACCCCAGAGGAAAUUUGGGAUAAUCCCUCCGUAAACCAUCAUUAAAUUCGCCAUGAAUUUAUGGAUUAAAAGCCUUCCGGCCCGGGUUAAAAGAAUGAGCAUGCCGUCCUUAAUUAAGUUUAGUAGGGUGAGGUAACGCUCACCUAGACUACGAUAGGUAGGGGUCCUGAGAGGGAGAUCCCCCACACUGGUACUGAGACACGGACCAGACUCCUACGGGGGGCACAGUGAGGAAUAUUGGACAAUGGACGAAAGUCUGAUCCAGCUAUGCCGCGUGCAGGAUGACAGCCCUACGGGUUGUAAACUGCUUUUAUACAGGAAGAAAACCUUCGACGCGUCGAAGCUUGACGGUACUGUAAGAAUAAGGAUCGGCUAACUCCGUGCCAGCAGCUGCGGUAAUACGGAGGAUCCAAGCGUUAUCCGGAAUCAUUGGGUUUAAAGGGUCCGCAGCGGUUUUUUAAGUCAGAGGUGAAAUCCUGCAGCUCAACUGUAGAAUUGCCUUUGAUACUGAAAGACUUGAGUUAUUGUGAAGUGGUUAGAAUGUGUGGUGUACGGUGAAAUGCAUAGAUAUCACACAGAAUACCAAUUGCGAAGGCAGAUCACUAACAAUAUACUGACGCUCAGGGACGAAAGCGUGGGUAGCGAACAGGAUUAGAUACCCUGGUAGUC